GAUGAACGCUGGCGGCGUGCCUAAUACAUGCGAGUCGAGCGAACGGACGAGAAGCUUGCUUCUCUGAUGUUAGCGGCGGACGGGUGAGUAACACGUGGAUAACCUACCUAUAAGACUGGGAUAACUUCGGGAAACCGGAGCUAAUACCGGAUAAUAUUUUGAACCGCAUGGUUCAAAAGUGAAAGACGGUCUUGCUGUCACUUAUAGAUGGAUCCGCGCUGCAUUAGCUAGUUGGUAAGGUAACGGCUUACCAAGGCAACGAUGCAUAGCCGACCUGAGAGGGUGAUCGGCCACACUGGAACUGAGACACGGACCAGACUCCUACGGGAGGCAGCAGUAGGGAAUCUUCCGCAAUGGGCGAAAGCCUGACGGAGCAACGCCGCGUGAGUGAUGAAGGUCUUCGGAUCGUAAAACUCUGUUAUUAGGGAAGAACAUAUGUGUAAGUAACUGUGCACAUCUUGACGGUACCUAAUCAGAAAGCCACGGCUAACUACGUG
rnacentral:rRNA from 1 species